GCCGAAGUGGCGGAAUUGGUAGACGCGCUAGGUUCAGGACCUAGUGGGCGCAAGCCUGUGGGGGUUCGAGUCCCCCCUUCGGCACCA
rnacentral:tRNA from 1 species